rnacentral:lncRNA from 1 species
CAGCUGAGUAAGUGGGAGAUGACAGAGCCAACGCACUGCCUGUGUUAGAGGAGCAACAGAACUCCGAAAGCGAUAUAAAUUAUUGGAACAGUGCUCAUCUAGGGAAUUGCAGACAGACAAAGCAGCUCUGAGGAAAUGCAUCCCUGUCAACAAACAUUUGUUUCAGCUGAGGCUUGAAUAACAGCAGAAAUGAAAAGCAGAAUAAUCUGGUGAGGGGAAAAUGAACUGCAGCCAAUUUUUGAAGGGAACAAAUUAACUCCAGCCUAUGGAAGAUUAAG